AGAAACCAGUUAUUACAGUAGUUGGCGUAUAGUAAAGAUCUAAAUACGUUUUGUUUUUUUAAGUAGUUAAGUCAAAGAAAAUGACCGGUCUCUGCCCUCAACUUCCCUUGGGGAAAACGAUGCCAAAAUAUUGCCUCCUAGCCUUGUGACUUUUCACCAGGCACCUGCAGUACCUGCGUGGUCUACACUGACGUCAAUCCUGGUAGCUUGUCAUUUCACUUCGUGGAUUUGUCUAUACUCCCACCCACCACGUUGACUCUGGGCUCCCCGAGGACUCGGCUUUUGUGGGUCACCACUCACUGAAUCCCUAGUGUUUGCAAAGUGCCUGGCACGUACUCAAGACUGUGUUGAACACGUUUGCGAUUGAACCGUUCAUUCUCUCUCUCUAACUUACUCCAGCCACUUAUUCAAGACUCAGAGCCCACCCCAUGCCAAGUUCUCUUCCUCCACGUGCUCUUGGCUCCCUGCACUUAGCGUGCUCUUCCACCCUUCUGCCUCUGAGCCUCUAUAUGCUCUUCCCUCAGUGUGAAUGUUCUUCCCCUCACCUCCUUCCUUGCUUUCUUGACUUCCAGCCCCAGCUCAGUCCUCACAUCCUUUCUGAAGCGUUCUCUGAUUCCUCCAGGCAAAGAUCCACCUUCCUCUGGUUCCCCAACACUGUCUUUCAUAAUUUUAUCUGAGCUCUUACUGCAGUGGAUUAUAUGUAUUUUUAAACCUGACACCCCCACAAGACCUGGCGCUCCUUACUCCUCUGUGUUUCCCCUGAGCUCUGCACAUGUCUGAUCAGGAGGCGCCCAACAGAUGUUCCUUGGCUGCAGGACUCUUUGUCUCAGCCUUGGUGUCCCCAGCUGAAGCCGGGGGGUCUUGUCUCAGGAGGGAAUGACAUCGUACCUGGGGAAGCAUUUGGAGAAGGAGCAGCCUGCUGUUCCUGCAGCAGCAGUGACUAUAUUUAUCUGGUGCUGUCCUAGCACCGCACAAGGUCUUUGUGCACUUCAGCCUUUAUCAGCUCAGGUUUAAGCUCCUCUCUUAAUCACCUGCAAGGGAAUGGUGUUUACAGGGAUUCCAGCUGAGAAAAACUGGCCCACCUGAAUUGUCUGCCUUUGCAGCAACUCACAACUGACCUUUGGAAACUGUUGUGGGACUGCAUGAGACUGCUAAUAAGUCCCUUGCAGCUCCGUGGUUCUGUGACAGCCAAAAGGGAAACAGAGUUUGCAGAAGGCUUUACCAGUAGGAAACCCUGGUCAUCGAGACUCGGUGACAUUUCAUAUCAGAAAAGACCCAAAGUCUCCGAAGAGAGUCGUGUGUCUCAUCUUUUAGACGAGGUUGAAGGCCUGAGAUUCCUCUGCUUGGUAACGUGGAACCGCAGGAGCAUCUCUCCAGAUUUUAUUACAUAAUGAUUCGCAGGUUAUGUAACAGUCAUGACAAUGAUCAGGCACCUCUACUUGCUAAGAGCCAACAACACGAACAAUCUACCUACUUCUUUCUAUUUUUUAGGCGUUUUUCUCAUCACAAAAGUAGCACAUGAAUUCCAACGAUGCAGACGUGUGUAGAACGAAAAAUGAAAAAGAAAAGCAACCCUAGGACCCAGCAGUUUGAUUUCUUGGAAUCUACUAGAGAAACCAGCGUACAUGCACCAAGAAACCUGUUGCGUCGUUGUUUGUAAUGCAAAAUCAAAACCAGAACCAUGCUAAAUGUCCGUCAGUAGGGGAGUGGUGUGUCCGUGCUGGUGACUAGGGUGUGUCACUGAAAAGGAUGAUGGAAGCCUGUGUAGCUCUGCAGGACGUGCCCUGAAAUGGAAACCGUAUUGUCUAAGGGUGUGUAUAAGUGUAUAAAGUCAGCGGGGGACAGUAAUGCAAAUAUCGAUCAUGUGUUUUUUAAAUCUUGUCACAAAUACAUAUUAUGUGAUUUUUAUUAAUAUAUUUCUCUCCCAGAAGUCAGUAAGCUCCAUGAGGACAUAACUAUCUGUUUUGCUCACAAUUAUAUCACUACUGUCUGCCAUAGAUACACUUCCCACACACAAACGGGAGUCCAACAGUGUUUCUGAACAAAGUUUUUAUUAAAUGCCAGGAUUUAUGUUAGAUUUAAGGGGCGUAACUGUGAGCAAGACAGACACAGCGCCUGCCCUCAAGGAGCGCGCAGUCGCCUUAUCAGAAAGAAUAAAACAGGAGUAGGAUGAACUAAAUACCCGUAAUUCCGGGAUAGAAGGUGGUAAAUGUUAUGAGAGCGGCAUAGAGCUUAAAGAAUGGAGACGUGACCUCCGACAGGGCGAACUGGGGACAGCCCCACGGAGGAGGUGGCGUUGGAGCUGGGCUCUGAGUGAGCUGGGCACUUGAGGAUGUCCAGCUUUCCUUCCAGCUGGAGGGAAGAAAAGAAUCAAAAGCAAGGAGUGGAAAUUGAGACUCAGCUGCCUACAAGCAUGUAAGGAUAAUGCGUGGGAAGAACUUGACCCAAAGCCUGGAAGAGAGUCAGCCUGCAGGCGGUGUUGUCCAUGAUGAGGGUCAUUGCUGUGCAACGCGAAUGUGCCGGGAGCUGGCAAUUCUGUCUGCUGCUCAAAGCUCAGCAUUCAUUCUGACCUCCCACAGGUGGAGGCAGCGCUGGGGGAGGUUCGUAGCCCGAAGAGGCAUGCCUGGAAAUGAAGCUGGCACAGUGAGCUUCUUCACUAUCAGUAAGAGGCUUGCUUCCCCCUUUUUCUCUAAAUAUAAACCCAACUGUCAAUUGCUUCACAGUCUUCAUGUCUGCCGCAGGAGCCACCCACAAGUCCAAAGGUUACCGGGCUGGCUGAGGGCUGGUCCUUAGCGUGAUCCGCCCAGCCCAGCCCCGCUCCCUGGAGACACAGGUCAUGGGGUUGGAUGUGCACCACUCAGCUCCUCCUCUGGUGAUUCUGAAUUGCUCCUGAAAACAGUAACUCAGAGGUUGGGAGCUCCCGAUAUGUACUUUACUGGUCUCUUAAAGAAUUGGGUUUCAAAGCCUGUGCACUGAAACCGACCGUCUCUGCCCUUCCCUUGAAGUAGGCCAGGGAAAGCCACAAACAGGUUGUCUUUGUUCCAUGGCAACGUCCUCCCAAGGCAGGAGGGCAAAGUAAACUCUGAAGCCAAAAGGCCUGAGUUCAGAUCCCAGCUCUGCCACUUUCCAGCUGUGUGACUUUGGACAAGCUAUCUGACCCCUGCAGACCUCGGUUUCCUUAUCGGUAAGAUGAGAUUAAUAGGAGUAAGUACCCCAAGGAUGCUGAGAGAUUGAAUGAGCUCAGACAGGGCGCCAGCGGACAGUGAGCAGUGGAGACAAGCCAGCUAUGAGUAUUCUUAACUCAGAGUCACGGAGCCUGCCAGGCUGGGGUGCACAGUCGGCCUCAGACGAUGGGGAAGGUGACUGGGCUUGAUGCCGUUCUGGUCAAUCCUGGGCACCUUGCGUUUGUGCUGCUCCCAAGAAUAGACUUUUAUAACAUGCAGAAUAUAUAAAGAACUCCUACAACUCAAGAACAACAGGACAACCCAAUUUAAAAAUGGGCAGAGGACUUGAAUAGAUAUUUCUCCAGAGGAGAUAUACAAGCAGCCAAUAAGCACAUGGAAAAGUACUCAACAUCAUCAGCCAUUAGGUAAGUGCAAAUCAAAGUCACAGAUGCAGAAUCACACCUAUUAGUGGCUAUAAUUUAAAAAAAGGGAAAAUAACAAGUGUUCACAAGGAUCUUGAGAAAUCGGAAACCUGUGCCUUGCCGAUUGGAAUGUAAGGUCGUGCAGCUGCUAUGGAGAGAAGUUCGGUGCUGCCUUGAAAAGUGAAACAUAAUUACCAUAUGGCCUAGCAAUUCUAGUCCUAGGCAUCUACCCGAAAGGAUUGAGAACAGAGACUGGAACAGAAGGCCAUACACCAGCGUUCACAGCAGCAGCAUUCACAACAGCCGAAAGGUGGAAACAACCCAAGCGGCCAUCAACAGAGGAAUGGAUAAACAAGGUGUGGUAUAUCCAUACGAUGGAAUAUUAUUUGCCCAUAAAAAAGGAAUGAAGUUCUGAGACAUGCCUCCACAUGGAUGAACCUUGAAAACAUUAGGCUAAGUGAAAGAAGCCAGUAACGAAAGGGCAAAUGUUAUAUGAUUCCGUGUAUAUAAAAUGCCUGUAAUAGGAAAAUUCAAAGAGAUGGAAAGUAGAUUAGAAGUGACCAGGGCUGGAGAGAGGGGAGAAUGGGGAGUUACUGCUUAGUAGGUGCAGAGUUUCUGUUUGGGGUGAUGAAAAAUUCUGGAAACUGGUGAUGCUUGCCCACAUUGUGAACGUAAUUAAUGCCUCUGACUUAGUAACUUCAAAUGGUCAAAAUGGCAAAUUUUAGGUUAUGUAUAUAUUACCACAAAUUAAAAACUUUUAAAAAA